ensembl:lncRNA
CUCAUCAGCAUAUUUAAUCAAUCCAUGUGCAGGGAGCUUUGCAUAUGUCCUUUUCCUUCCCUGCUCUUUGGCCCCUUAGCUUAUAGAAUUUAUAUUGGAACUCUAAAAUGAAGAGACAUCCCAUUGAUUACACACUUAUCUUAACAAUUGGCCUAACACCUCCACAUAAUUUGGGAGUAGUUCAAUGAAGCCAUGUAUCAGUUGGCUUUCAUCAUCAUUUUUUUUUUCAGAUAGGGACUCAAUCCAGUCUGACCUUUAACUUGUUAGCCCAAACUGGCCUUGAACUCAAGAUCCUCCUGCCUCAGUUUCCCAGGUGCUGGGAUUGCAGGCUGGCACCACCAUGCCAGGCUCAGUUUUCAUUGUUUUGAACUAUAAAAAGUUUAACUAGGUGUGGUGGUGCAUCCUUGUAAUCUAGGCUACUCAGGAGGCUGAGGCAGGAAGAUUGCAAGUUUGAGGUGUGUGUGAGGGGGAGGCAUUUUAUGUAUUUUCUGGAUUUCCCUAGCUUUUGUGUAAACCCUCUGUAAUUGCUGGGAACUGACAAUUUUUAGAUGUUUUCUUUUACCCUCAUAAUAUAUAAAAUUCUUUCCCCCCUCUUCUGGUUUACUUCCUCACCCCUUUUCUGUUUGGGGGGAAUAAUCAUCUGUUAGAGUCCCUGUCAGCAGUUUGGAAUGUGGGUUCUAACUGUGCCUGACCACAAAGUUCUUUAAUGUUUUUCUAAGACUGAUUUUUGUCCAAAUCCCUGUUCUAAAUCCCUGGCACUGUUUUUGUUUUUUGAGACAAGGUCUCACUAUGUAGUUCAGGCUAGCCUUGAAUUCCCAAACUCCCGGCAAUCUGAAUGCUGGGAUCACAGGUAUGCGCCAGCACACUUGUCCAUUAACAUAGUUAUUGGGGCUUCUCUUUGCUGUGUCUUCAUGGGCUUUAGUCGCUGAAAUCUAUCUAUCUAUGGUGGUUAAUUCUUUUACCAGAGAGUUAUGUCUGUAUUCAAGACAGGGCUAAGAACUGUCUUGCUUUGAAAGAUUCUAGAAACUUGAGAAGCUGCUCACUGCUUUCCAUGAAGAUUUCCACAAGGAUAAGGUUGCACUCUCCUCUUCCUCUGUCAUGGUAUCGAGAUUCUACCUUAAUCACUCCGUCAUCCUGCCUUUGGGUCUCAUUUCUCAAAUGGGCACACUCCCUCCCAGGCUCAGCGUGAGCCACCAGCAUGAUGCUUUAUCUGGCCCAGGCUCUAGCCCUUAAAUUGUCCGUCUGGCUUUGUGUUUCAUUUGACCCUAAUACAUUGGGUCGCACUGUCUAAAAGAGAAUUAUGUCUCCUCCUCUGUCUGGGUGCAUUUCUCAUUUCUUACUCCUGCUCCUGAGCAGAUCUGUAACUUCAAGGUUAAGAUAAGACACAUUCCAUCAGAACUAUGUCGUCAUCCUUGCCAGCUUCUGAUCUGUGACUGUCCGGGAGAUUUACAAGACAACUGCGUGCCAUUCUUUAAAGAAUAUUAUGGUUGGACUCUGACUCCUGGCAUCAGGCCCAAUUUGAUUUGUCGGCUGUUACAAAACCCAUUUCCCAAAGAGAGAGGGACCUCAGCCCAUGUGCCCUUUAUAUAGUUUAAGGAUAAGAAGGAUGGAGUGAUCUGAACCCUUAUUUUCUGAUUUUAGAAGGAAGAGUGAACACUAGAAUAUUUUGUUCCUUUCCUGAUUGAAUUUUCUUUUCUCCUCCCUUCCUCCCUCCCUUCCUUCAUGUAUGGGAAAUCAAAUACAGGGCUUCACUUUCACACAUGCUAAGUAUUAUAAUGGCUCUAUGGUUGAGCUCUGUCCCCAGCCUGAAUCCCCUUUCUUUUUCUAAACAUUUUAUCAAAAUAUUAUUAUAGAGGGACCGGGGAUUUAGCUCAGUGGUUUCGCCCCCUGCCACGCAAGUGAAAGGUCCCAAGUUCGAUCCCCGGUACCAAAAAAAAAAAUGUGAUUCCAGAUGUCAUUUUUUUUUUCCUGUCAUUUAUUCCCUUCACAGAAUUAGCAUUAAUCUUUUUCUUUCUCUUUUUGUUUUUUUUCUGUGUGUGUGUGUUUUGUUUGGUUUGGUCUUUUGAGACAGUCUCGCUAUGCAGUCCAGGCUGGCCUUGAACUCACUAUAUAGCCCAGGCUGGC